rnacentral:tRNA from 1 species
GGUUCUAUAGUGUAGCGGUUAGCAUGUCUGCUUUACACGCAGAAGGUCGUUGGUUUAUGCCCCAAUGGAGCCA